rnacentral:rRNA from 1 species
AGAACGAACGCUGGCGGCAGGCUUAACACAUGCAAGUCGAGCGCCCCGCAAGGGGGAGCGGCAGACGGGUGAGUAACGCGUGGGAAUCUACCCAUCUCUACGGAACAACUCCGGGAAACUGGAGCUAAUACCGUAUACGCCCUUCGGGGGAAAGAUUUAUCGGAGAUGGAUGAGCCCGCGUUGGAUUAGCUAGUUGGUGGGGUAAUGGCCUACCAAGGCGACGAUCCAUAGCUGGUCUGAGAGGAUGAUCAGCCACACUGGGACUGAGACACGGCCCAGACUCCUACGGGAGGCAGCAGUGGGGAAUAUUGGACAAUGGGCGAAAGCCUGAUCCAGCCAUGCCGCGUGAGUGAUGAAGGCCUAGGGUUGUAAAGCUCUUUCAACGGUGAAGAUAAUGACGGUAACCGUAGAAGAAGCCCCGGACUAACUCGUGCCAGCAGCCGC